rfam:Myotis lucifugus cont2.2972, whole genome shotgun sequence.
GGCCAGGUAGCUUAGGUGGUUAGAGCAUCGUCCUGAUAUGACAAGGUUGCGAGUUCGAUCCCUGGCCA